rnacentral:rRNA from 1 species
AUACGUAGGGAGCGAGCGUUGUCCGGAAUUACUGGGCGUAAGGGCGCGUAGGCGGCGCUUCAAGUCGUCUGUCAAAUGGAAGGGCUUAACCCUUUUUCGCAGACGAAACUGGAGAGCUUGAGAAGCAGAGAGGCAAACAGAAUUCCUGGUGUAGCGGUGAAAUGCGUAGAUAUCAGGAAGAAUACCAGUGGCGAAGGCGGUUUGGUGGCUGCAUACUGACGCUGAAGCGCGAAAGCCAGGGGAGCGAACGGGAUUAGAUACCCCGGUAGUCCUGGCAGUAAACGAUGUAUGCUGGGUGUGAGACUAGCGAUAGUUUCGUGCCGAAGUUAACGCGAUAAGCAUACCGCCUGGGGAGUACGGUCGCAAGAUUGAAACUCAAAGGAAUUGACGGGG